UCUUGGUCAUUUAGAGGAAGUAAAAGUCGUAACAAGGUUUCCGUAGGUGAACCUGCGGAAGGAUCAUUAAAGAAAUUUAAUAAUUUUGAAAAUGGAUUUUUUUGUUUUGGCAAGAGCAUGAGAGCUUUUACUGGGCAAGAAGACAAGAGAUGGAGAGUCCAGCCGGGCCUGCGCUUAAGUGCGCGGUCUUGCUAGGCUUGUAAGUUUCUUUCUUGCUAUUCCAAACGGUGAGAGAUUUCUGUGCUUUUGUUAUAGGUCAAUUAAAACCGUUUCAAUACAACACACUGUGGAGUUUUCAUAUCUUUGCAACUUUUUCUUUGGGCAUUCGAGCAAUCGGGGCCCAGAGAUAACAAACACAAACAAUUUUAUCUAUUCAUUAAAUUUUUGUCAAAAACAAGAAUUUUCGUAACUGGAAAUUUUAAAAUAUUAAAAACUUUCAACAACGGAUCUCUUGGUUCUCGCAUCGAUGAAGAACGCAGCGAAAUGCGAUACGUAAUGUGAAUUGCAGAAUUCCGUGAAUCAUCGAAUCUUUGAACGCACAUUGCGCCCCUUGGUAUUCCAGGGGGCAUGCCUGUUUGAGCGUCAUUUCCUUCUCAAACAUUCUGUUUGGUAGUGAGUGAUACUCUUUGGAGUUAACUUGAAAUUGCUGGCCUUUUCAUUGGAUGUUUUUUUUCCAAAGAGAGGUUUCUCUGCGUGCUUGAGGUAUAAUGCAAGUACGGUCGUUUUAGGUUUUACCAACUGCGGCUAAUCUUUUUUUAUACUGAGCGUAUUGGAACGUUAUCGAUAAGAAGAGAGCGUCUAGGCGAACAAUGUUCUUAAAGUUUGACCUCAAAUCAGGUAGGAGUACCCGCUGAACUUAAGCAUAUCAAUAAGCGGAG
rnacentral:rRNA from 1 species